rnacentral:rRNA from 1 species
UACGAAGGGGGCUAGCGUUGCUCGGAAUCACUGGGCGUAAAGGGUGCGUAGGCGGGGCUUUAAGUCCGGGGUGAAAUCCUGGAGCUCAACUCCAGAACUGCCUUUGAUACUGAAGAUCUUGAGUCCGGGAGAGGUGAGUGGAACUGCGAGUGUAGAGGUGAAAUUCGUAGAUAUUCGCAAGAACACCAGUGGCGAAGGCGGCUCACUGGCCCGGUACUGACGCUGAGGCACGAAAGCGUGGGGAGCAAACAGG